rnacentral:rRNA from 1 species
AGAGGAAGUAAAAGUCGUAACAAGGUUUCCGUAGGUGAACCUGCGGAAGGAUCAUUAUUGAAAUAAACCUGAUGAGUUGUUGCUGGCUCUCUAGGGAGCAUGUGCACACUUGUCAUCUUUGUAUCUUCACCUGUGCAUCUUUUGUAGACCUUGGAUAUCUCUCUGAUUGCUUUAGCACUCAGGAUUUGAGGAUUGACUCUUUUGUGUCUCUUCUUACAAUUCCAGGUCUAUGUUUCUUCAUAUACCCUCAUGUAUGUUCAUAGAAUGUCAUCAAUGGGCCUUUGUGCCUAUAAAUCUAUACAACUUUCAGCAACGGAUCUCUUGGCUCUCGCAUCGAUGAAGAACGCAGCGAAAUGCGAUAAGUAAUGUGAAUUGCAGAAUUCAGUGAAUCAUCGAAUCUUUGAACGCACCUUGCGCUCCUUGGUAUUCCGAGGAGCAUGCCUGUUUGAGUGUCAUUAAUAUAUCAAACCUCUUUGGUUUGGAUGUGGGGUUUGCUGGCCUCUUUUGAGGUCAGCUACUCUUAAAUGCAUUAGCGGACAACAUUUUGCCAAACGUUCAUUGGUGUGAUAAUUAUCUACGCUAUCAACGUGAAGCAGGUUCAGCUUCUAACAGUCCAUUGAUUUGGACAAAUCUCUUUAUUAAUGUGACCUCAAAUCAGGUAGGACUACCCGCUGAACUUAAGCAUAUCAAUAAGCGGAGGAAAAGAAACUAACAAGGAUUCCCCUAGUAACUGCGAGUGAAGCGGGAAAAGCUCAAAUUUAAAAUCUGGCAGUCUUUGGCUGUCCGAGUUGUAAUCUAGAGAAGCAUUAUCCGCGCUGGACCGUGUACAAGUCUCCUGGAAUGGAGCGUCAUAGAGGGUGAGAAUCCCGUCUUUGACACGGACUACCAGGGCUUUGUGAUGUGCUCUCAAAGAGUCGAGUUGUUUGGGAAUGCAGCUCAAAAUGGGUGGUAAAUUCCAUCUAAAGCUAAAUAUUGGCGAGAGACCGAUAGCGAACAAGUACCGUGAGGGAAAGAUGAAAAGAACUUUGGAAAGAGAGUUAAACAGUACGUGAAAUUGCUGCAAGGGAAACGCUUGAAGUCAGUCGCGUUGUCCAGGGAUCAACCCUUGCUUUUGCUUGGUGUACUUUCUGGUUAACGGGUCAGCAUCAAUUUUGACCAUUGGAAAAAGAUCAAGGGAAUGUGGCAUCUUUUAGAUGUGUUAUAGCCCUUGGUUGUAUACAUUGGUUGGGAUUGAGGAACUCAGCACGCCGCAAGGCCGAGUUUUUUUAACUACGUACGUGCUUAGGAUGCUGGCAUAAUGGCUUUAAUCGACCCGUCUUGAAA